ACGGAGGAUCCGAGCGUUAUCCGGAUUUAUUGGGUUUAAAGGGUGCGUAGGUGGUUUAAUAAGUCAGCGGUGAAAGUUUGCAGCUUAACUGUAAAAAUGCCGUUGAAACUGUUAGACUUGAGUGUAAAUGAGGUAGGCGGAAUGCGUGGUGGAGCGGUGAAAUGCCUAGAUAUCUCACCGAACUAUGAUUGCGAAGGCAGCUUACCGAGCUGCAACUGAGGCCGAAACCCUGAUGCGUGGGGAGCAAGCAG
rnacentral:rRNA from 1 species